rnacentral:tRNA from 1 species
CAGAAGGUAGUUUUAAGAAGAAUGGCAGCUUUGGGAGUUGUAGGUGCAAAAGUUGGUUUUGCUUUUCUGA